UACGGAGGGGGCUAGCGUUAUUCGGAAUUAUUGGGCGUAAAGGGCUCGUAGGCGGCCAACUAAGUCAGACGUGAAAUCCCUCGGCUUAACCGGGGAACUGCGUCUGAUACUGGAUGGCUUGAGUUUGGGAGAGGGAUGCGGAAUUCCAGGUGUAGCGGUGAAAUGCGUAGAUAUCUGGAGGAACACCGGUGGCGAAGGCGGCAUCCUGGACCAACACUGACGCUGAGUGAGCGAAAGCCAGGGGAGCAAACGGG
rnacentral:rRNA from 1 species